GUCUUUGUAGUAUAUCACGUUACCCUGGUCUUGUAAACCAGAAGAGGAGAACAACACACCUCCCUAAGACUC
rnacentral:tRNA from 1 species